rnacentral:rRNA from 1 species
CUNUUCUUGUUUUAUGAUUUGAAGUAUGACCUGCCCGCUGAUGUGAUUGAAGGGCCGCGGUAUUUUGACCGUGCAAAGGUAGCAUAAUCAUUAGCUUUUUAAUUGUGAGCUGGUAUGAAUGGUUUGACGAGGUAUUGACUGUCUUUGGUUUAGGAUUCGUUGAAUUUGUUGUUUGGGUAAAAAUACCUAAAUUUUUUUAUGGGACGAGAAGACCCUAUAGAGUUUUAUAUGGUGGAUUCUUUUUGUUUGUUUAUUUAUGUGGGUUGUCCGUAUUUCGUUGGGGUGAUGGGAAGGUAAGUGUAACCCUUCUUUUUUUGUUUCAUUUAUUUAUGUUUUUGUGAUCCUUUAUUAUUGAUUAUAAGAUUAAAUUACCUUAGG